GCCAGCAGCCACAUCACCCUGCAACUCACAACUGGCAACCCACUGAAGCUCAGCAGGUGUGAGGCUGGUCAAUACCCAGAUGGGAGACCUCCUGGGAAAUUUUAAGGCUGCUGCUGGAA
rnacentral:rRNA from 1 species